GAUGAACGCUGGCGGCGUGCUUAACACAUGCAAGUCGAACGGACUGAGGGAGCUUGCUCCCAAAGUUAGUGGCGGACGGGUGAGUAACGCGUGGGUAACCUGCCCUAUGCAGGGGGAUAACGUUUGGAAACGAACGCUAAUACCGCAUAAUCUAGUUGGUUCGCAUGAACUAACUAGCAAAGAUUUUAUCGGCAUAGGAUGGACCCGCGUUAGAUUAGCUAGUUGGUGAGAUAAAAGCCCACCAAGGCAACGAUCUAUAGCCGGCCUGAGAGGGUGAACGGCCACACUGGGACUGAGACACGGCCCAGACUCCUACGGGAGGCAGCAGUGGGGAAUAUUGCACAAUGGACGCAAGCCUGAUGCAGCGACGCCGCGUGAAGGAUGAAGGUCUUCGGAUCGUAAACUUCUAUCAGUAGGGAAGAAUACCAUGACGGUACCUGACUAUGAAGCCCCGGCUAACUACGUGCCAGCAGCCGCAGUAAGAC
rnacentral:rRNA from 1 species